GACAGAGGUGCCGAGCGUUAGGCGGAAUCACUGGGCUUAAAGCGUGUGUAGGCGGGUCGUUAAGUGUCUUGUGAAAUCCCCCGGCUCAACCGGGGAAUGGCUGGGCAUACUGGCGAUCUUGAGCAGUCUAGGGGCAGAUGGAACAAGUGGUGGAGCGGUGAAAUGCGUAGAGAUCGGGAAGAACACCAGUGGCGAAAGCGCUCUGCUGGACUGCAACUGACACUGAGGGACGAAAGCUAGGGGAGCGAAAGGG
rnacentral:rRNA from 1 species